AUGCAAAUAGUCUUGAUCUGUGCAUUAUGUGGCAUUUUGUUAAUAAAAUCAAAUUUAAUUUGCCAUAUUUGAUUUUCAAAGUUAUCGCCAAGUUUAGUAAGCAUCGAAAAUUGCCAUAUGCUAUGCCUUUAACUCUUGUAUUUCAAGCUAUGGGAGUUGAUUUAAGCAAAGAGAAGAAGUAUAGCAACACUAUUCCUAUUAAGGAGAUCUUCAAGGCUGAUGAUGGUAUGAAAAGAAAUAAGAAAUGAGAGAAAAAGCAAGAUGAAGAAACUGAGAUUGAAGUUGAAUCUGAAUCAGAAUCAUACUCUGAAACAGAAUAUGAUAUUCUAGUAAGUAAGUUGAAAGGAGGUUCUAAGAUAGAUGAAAGGGAGAGUUCUAAGAAGGAAAAGAAAAAGAAGUGAAAAUGUUAGAUUUUGUGAAAUGGCUAAGGCAAAU
rnacentral:misc_RNA from 1 species